CCCUUAGAUGUCCUGGGCCGCACGCGCGUUACACUGAUGCAUUCAACGAGCUUAUAACCUUGGCCGGGAGGCCUGGGCAAUCUUGUUAACGUGCAUCGUGAUAGGGAUAGAUUAUUGAAAUUAUUAAUCUUGAACGAGGAAUUCCUAGUAAACGCAGAUCAUCAAUCUGCAUUGAUUACGUCCCUGCCCUUUGUACACACCGCCCGUCGCACCUACCGAUUGGAUGGUCCGGUGAAGCCUCGGGAUUGUGGUUCUUGCCGCUUUAUUGUGGCGUGACCGCGAGAACUUGUCUAAACCUUAUCAUCUAGAGGAAGGUGAAGUCGUAACA
rnacentral:rRNA from 1 species